AGAGUUUGAUCCUGGCUCAGGACGAACGCUGGCGGCGUGCUUAACACAUGCAAGUCGAACGAAAAGAGGGAAAGAGCUUGCUCUUUCCGGAAUUGAGUGGCAAACGGGUGAGUAACACGUAAACAACCUGCCUUCAGGAUGGGGACAACAGACGGAAACGACUGCUAAUACCGAAUAAGUUCCAAGAGCCGCAUGGCCCAUGGAAGAAAAGGUGGCCUCUACCUGUAAGCUAUCGCCUGAAGAGGGGUUUGCGUCUGAUUAGCUGGUUGGAGGGGUAACGGCCCACCAAGGCGACGAUCAGUAGCCGGUCUGAGAGGAUGAACGGCCACACUGGAACUGAGACACGGUCCAGACUCCUACGGGAGGCAGCAGUGGGGAAUCUUCCGCAAUGGGCGAAAGCCUGACGGAGCAACGCCGCGUGAGUGAUGACGGCCUUCGGGUUGUAAAACUCUGUGAUCCGGGACGAAAGGGCAGAGUGCGAAGAACAAACUGCAUUGACGGUACCGGAAAAGCAAGCCACGGCUAACUACGUGCCAGCAGCCGCGGUAAUACGUAGGUGGCAAGCGUUGUCCGGAAUUAUUGGGCGUAAAGCGCGCGCAGGCGGCUUCCCAAGUCCCUCUUAAAAGUGCGGGGCUUAACCCCGUGAUGGGAAGGAAACUGGGAAGCUGGAGUAUCGGAGAGGAAAGUGGAAUUCCUAGUGUAGCGGUGAAAUGCGUAGAGAUUAGGAAGAACACCGGUGGCGAAGGCGACUUUCUGGACGAAAACUGACGCUGAGGCGCGAAAGCGUGGGGAGCAAACAGGAUUAGAUACCCUGGUAGUCCACGC
rnacentral:rRNA from 1 species